CUACGACCUUGUCAGGUUGACUACACCGGUUUCCGUAAUCAUUAUCUCGGUUCAUCAUAAUUAAGCGACCUUGGGCGUGGUUAGUACUUGGAUGGGUGACCGCUUUGGACCACCUAGUGCUGU
rnacentral:rRNA from 1 species